GCUGGGCAGGACUGCGGCAGGCGUCUCUGGAGGCGUGUGUACGCGGCCAAGGCCGAGGCUGCCCCUGCAAUACCCGUGGCCCCGAGGUGAGGGGGCGAGCGUCCCUCUCAGGGGAGCUGUGCCACAUCUCGCACCUCAGGAGCCCUUCUUGUUCUUCUGGCCACUUAAGCCUUAUUUCUGCACGCUUGGGAACUUGCUAGGCAUCAAAAGACAGGCCGAGCCUAGGUGUGACCUAUUCCCUUCAGCGGUGAGGCAGCUGCCACUGACUGGAAGGUGGGCUUCAGUUGUGAAGUACGUGGAUACUGCUGUGAAGAGUCUCGUGCUUGUCAUCAGCUUUUCCCCUCCAUCCACCACUUGGGUUUCUUGUAGUGUUGGGCUUCAGGAUUUGACACCAAUGACGAAAGAAGGCAUUUCAGGAGUAUCAUUCUUCCAUUUGUGAGAUUCUGAGCCAGCCAGCCUGGUGUGAGUUUUCAGUGGAUU